rnacentral:rRNA from 1 species
CAGUCGCCGCGGGAAUACGGAGGGUGCAAGCGUUAAUCGGAAUUACUGGGCGUAAAGCGUGCGUAGGUGGUGGUUUAAGUCCGUUGUGAAAGCCCUGGGCUCAACCUGGGAAUUGCAGUGGAUACUGGGUCACUAGAGUGUGGUAGAGGAUAGUGGAAUUUCCGGUGUAGCAGUGAAAUGCGUAGAGAUCGGAAGGAACAUCUGUGGCGAAGGCGACUAUCUGGGCCAACACUGACACUGAGGCACGAAAGCGUGGGGAGCAAACAGGAUUAGAUACCCCUGUAGUCCCUGUCUCUUAUAA